CAUGUAAACCAUUGAUUGAACGUAGGAAAGCCACUAAUUUUUCCCGCACAGUCUAACAAAUCGUUAGUAAAAUGCCUGAAUGUUGUGCAGCUUAUGACUGCACCAACCGUCGAGUCAUGGGAGGUGUUGUCUCAUUUAAUAAAUUUCCUCUUGGAAAGCAGGCUAUACCCACUAAAGUGGGUGACGGCAAUCAGGUUGUGCAGCGAGCACUUCAAGAAGGAUGACUACAUGAGAGGUAAUCAUCCCAGAGAUGACCGAGAAAAUAUUCAACAUGGAAUCAGGAGUCUGCUGUACCCUCCAUCUUUCCAGCUUACCCACCACAUAAACAACAGAAGCAAGCGAGUAAGAGGCCUCCACCUAGAAGAAAAAUGAUGACAGCGGAUCCUGGCUCACAAUCUCCUCCAUUAAAAACUGUUAAUGUUGCAGAAGAGCACAUGUACAUGUAUGCAAAGAUCAAAACAUGAUAAACCAGGGACAGUUGGAGCUGUUGAAGCUGAACUUCGUACUGAAUACUUUCACGCUGAUUGAAAAUGAGCUGAAGUAAAUGGAGAAAGACAAACAUGGUCACAUGUUCUCUGAGGAAAUCAAGCAGUUCGCGUCACACUACAUGUCUAUAGUGCCCAGGUAAACAACCAAGGCAAACCAUUCUCCUGGAAAGUAACACAGACUCAGACGGUGACGAGACCAAAAAAGUCUUAGAGAUGAGUAAAAAAGAGUCGGAGAGAAAAAAGCGAGAAGCAGAUGAGAGGUUGCGGCUUGAGGAAGAAGAAUUGAAAAAGGAAUCCUUGAGAAGAUGACACUCUGAGAUGUGCAGGAAGAUGUGUGGGGAGGCAGCCCACCUGCAAGGCCUCCCCUGAAAUGGCUGCUGAAGAGACACGAGUACAUAAAGUGCCAUAGAAGCUUUGCUGUAGUGAAAUAUUUGCCAUCAUCCUGCAAUACACACAUGGUCUAAAAGAGAAAUGACAAGACAAGCACAUAAGAAAAUGAGAUGAUGGAAAACCUCUUUAGUUGUUUGUGUUCUGCUCAGAUGUUGCCUAGCGACAAGGGAUGCUCAGUACUUUGAUAACAUCUUCUCCACAUUGGGAGAGAUUGAAAGAGAACAGGUGAUGAGGAGGGUGACUCCAGGAAUGCGGCCCCAUUACAAUGUGAGCAUGAGGCGACCACGGACACAUGUUUAUGCCAGACUGCAACACUGUACUAAUGAAACUCAAUGCACGCAUCAAGGACAUUCACCAAAGAGCCACUGCAAACAAGAUGAUGCUUAAUGCGGCAAAGCAUUGGUUCUUCAUUUUACAUUAAGAUUUUCACAACAGCCACUUCCAGUCAUUUCCAUCACGGUUGGUGAUGUGAAACCACUCAACGAAAGCCAGAAAUCUCUGUGCAGUCAUGGAUGAACAUCUACAUGUAUCACCGAAGGCCCAUGUCUCUACCCUAUAUGCUGCUCUUAAAUUACUGUCAUCCAAAGAUGUUUUAAAUUUAGAAAAUAAUGAUCCACACAAAUACACCUGGAAAUUGUUUAGUUUUCCUUGGCCGUCU